rnacentral:lncRNA from 1 species
AUGUUUGAGCACUACCAUCUUCAUCCUCUCAAUACUCUGUCUGGUAAGUUCAGUGCCUCUGUCAUCAAAGAAUUUUACUCAAAUUUUCCUGUUGAUCCUAAGGGGUCUAACUAUCAGAUUGUUGUUCAUACUAUGCCUAUUGUUCUUCGACCCUCUGUUGUCAAUCGGGUUUUAGGUUUUCGGUCUUGCUCUGGCUUCGAUUAUGA